GUGAAUCAUCAAAUCUUUGAACGCAAAUUGCGCCUUUUUCGGAAGGCAUGUCUGUUUGAGGUCACCAUUUAACAAAUAAUGUACAUUUCGUGUGCACACUUUUAUGAGCUUUCCAAAUUUAUGUAUUAUUUUUGGUGGCGCAUAAUAAACAGCGCGAUGCUUUUUUUCAUUUCGUGUGUAGUAAAAUUUUUUCUUGCUUUUGUUGUGAAUAUCGUGAUCGCGCAAUGGAUGUGGCAAUUUUAGUUAAUCUCUGCCCCAACGCCACUCUUUCUCACGAUAGAUU
rnacentral:misc_RNA from 1 species